rnacentral:rRNA from 1 species
AUGGAUCAGCUUUACCGCAGGAUCAGUAGAAGCAUUGUUAAGAUAGCGAUUGGGCAUUCCUUUUAUCAUGGUUUUGUUUCUGAUAUCAUGCCACGGCUCACUGUAAUGGCAAGUGCGGCCUCAUUUCCAACGCCAUUGAAAAAUUACGAUGUCCUUCUGAGUUUUCCAGAUGGAAAAGAGUUCUUUUACCCUGCAGAAAGCGCUAUCCAAAUCAUCCAAAUCACAGACGGUAUUGCUGUAAUAGAAUGCCAUGGGGAAGAGAUUGAUACAGAUCUGGUCGAGGCACUUCAAGUAUGUGGAGAACAAGUUUCAAUAUCUGAAGAAGUGUAUACAUAUAAUGCUUACGCUGAGGGCAUAGAAAGCGCCAUAACCAAAGGUUAUGUAAUGUCAAUACAAGAGAGUUCGUUCUUCCACAGCUGCUCUGCAGGUUUAACUUUGCACCUGGGAGCAUUGGUCAUUAACAAAGGCGGUCAAUUGGUUGGCUUGUGUACUGGGUUUGAUCGCCACCUAAUUGCUAGAGAAAUGUCUGCACUAGCAUAA